rnacentral:tRNA from 1 species
AGUUCUGUAGCUUAGAUGAUUAAAGCGCCGGUCUAGCCUAGCGUAGGAGUCGUGAGUUCGAGUCUCACUAGAACGC